rnacentral:rRNA from 1 species
AUUGAACGCUGGCGGCAUGCCUUACACAUGCAAGUCGAACGGUAACAGGUCUUCGGAUGCUGACGAGUGGCGAACGGGUGAGUAAUACAUCGGAACGUGCCUAGUAGUGGGGGAUAACUACUCGAAAGAGUGGCUAAUACCGCAUGAGAUCUACGGAUGAAAGCAGGGGAUCGCAAGACCUUGUGCUACUAGAGCGGCCGAUGGCAGAUUAGGUAGUUGGUGGGAUAAAAGCUUACCAAGCCGACGAUCUGUAGCUGGUCUGAGAGGACGAUCAGCCACACUGGGACUGAGAAACGGCCCAGACUCCUACGGGAGGCAGCAGUGGGGAAUUUUGGACAAUGGGCGCAAGCCUGGUCCAGCAAUGCCGCGUGCAGGAUGAAGGCCUUCGGGUUGUAAACUGCUUUUGUACGGAACGAAAAGCCCCGGGUUAAUACCCUGGGGUCAUGACGGUACCGUAAAAAUAAGCACCGGCUAACUACGUGCCAGCAGCCGCGGUAA